rnacentral:rRNA from 1 species
UACGGGGGGGGCAAGCGUUGUUCGGAAUUACUGGGCGUAAAGGGCUCGUAGGUGGCCAACUAAGUCAGACGUGAAAUCCCUCGGCUUAACCGGGGAACUGCGUCUGAUACUGGAUGGCUUGAGAUUGGGAGAGGGAUGCGGAAUUCCAGGUGUAGCGGUGAAAUGCGUAGAUAUCUGGAGGAACACCGGUGGCGAAGGCGGCAUCCUGGACCAACACUGACACUGAGGAGCGAAAGCGUGGGGAGCGAUCCGG